UGGGGAAUAUUGGGCAAUGGGCGAAAGCCUGACCCAGCGACGCCGCGUGGGGGAUGAAGGUCUUCGGAUUGUAAACCCCUGUCGGGAGGGACGAACGUGUCACGGCAAACAGUCGUGACGCUUGACGGUACCUCCAAAGGAAGCCCCGGCUAACUCCGUGCCAGCAGCCGCGGUAAUACGGAGGGGGCAAGCGUUAUUCGGAAUUACUGGGCGUAAAGCGCGCGCAGGUGGCUUGGUAAGUGGCAGGUGAAAUCCCUUGGCUCAACCGAGGAACUGCCUGCCAAACUGCUGAGCUUGAGGCUGGGAGGGGAGAGCGGAAUUCCUGGUGUAGCGGUGAAAUGCGUAGAUAUCAGGAGGAACACCGGUAGCGAAAGCGGCUCUCUGGAACAGUACUGACGCUGAGGCGCGAAAGCUAGGGGAGCGAACAG
rnacentral:rRNA from 1 species